AUAAGGAGUCGGACCUGCCCAGUGAAGUAUUUUAAACGGCCGCGGUACUCUGACCGUGCAAAGGUAGCAUAAUCAUUUGCCCUAUAAUUGAGGGCUAGUAUGAAUGGUUUGACAAGAAUAAAGCUGUCUCCAUGCAAUUAUAUAGAACUUUAUUUUUAGGUGAAGAAGCCUAAAUUAUAUUAAAAGACAAGAAGACCCUAUCGAGCUUUAAAGAAAUUAAUAAAAUAAUAGUAUAUAUUAAUUAAAAUAAAUUUUAUUAAAAAUUUUGGUUGGGGCGACAAAGGAACAAAUAAAGCUUCUUUUAAAUUAAUAAAACCUGCAAGUAUUGAUCCAAAAAAUUUUGAUUAAAGAAAUUAGUUACCGUAGGGAUAACAGCAUUAUCUUUUUUGAGAGCUCAUAUCGAAAAAAAGGUUUGUGACCUCGAUGUUGGACCAGGAUAUCCUGAAGAUGUAGAAGUCUUCAAGGGUUGGUCUGUUCGACCAUUAAAAUCCUA
rnacentral:rRNA from 1 species